GGGUGCGGUCUGAUGUCCAGCUCGUGGAGUCCGGAGGGGGUGUGAAAAAGCCCAGAGACUCCCUCCGCCUCUCCUGCAAAACCUCCGGGUUCACCUUUGCUGACUAUAAUAUGCACUGGAUCCGUCAGGCUCCAGGGAAAGGACUGGACUGGGUGGCCUAUAUUAGUGGCCCCAGUGGAACAUAUAUAGGUUAUUCCCAGGCCAUCAAAGGGCGAUUCACCAUCUCCAGAGACAAUUCCAACAGCCUGCUAAAUUUGCAAAUGUCUGACCUGAAAGCAGAAACCACGGGCCUGUAUUACUGUGCGAGACAGACACAAUGA